UCCCUGGUGGCUCAGAUGGUAAAGCAUCUGUAUACAAUGCAGGAGACCCGGGUUCGAUCCCUGGGUUGGGAA
rfam:Ovis aries breed Texel chromosome 2, whole genome shotgun sequence.